UACGUAGGGAGCAAGCGUUGUCCGGAAUCAUUGGGCGUAAAGCGCGCGUAGGUGGCUUCGUAAGUCCGUUGUGAAAGUCAAAGGCUCAACCUUUGAAAGCCGAUGGAUACUGUGAAGCUAGAGUACGGAAGAGGCGAGUGGAAUUCCUGGUGUAGCGGUGAAAUGCGCAGAUAUCGGGAGGAACACCAAUGGCGAAGGCAGCUUGCUGGGACGGUACUGACGCUGAGACGCGAAAGCGUGGGGAGCAAACAGG
rnacentral:rRNA from 1 species